rnacentral:rRNA from 1 species
AUGCUUUGCGGAGACUUCAACCUCAUCCUGCGCGACGAGGACAAGAACAACGGCAACUUAAAUCGUCGUAUGAUGGGCAGAUUCCGACGCCUCGUCAAUGACCUUGCGCUUAAGGCGGUUUACCUCAACGGGCGUCGCUUCACGUGGUCGAACGAGCAGUCCCCUCCCACUCUUGUGCACCUGGAUCGUGUGCUCUGCACCUCGGACUGGGAGGAUGCUCACGGCGAAUGUCACCUUCGCUGCCUUGCGUCGGUCGUCUAG